AGAGUUUGAUCCUGGCUCAGAGCGAACGCUGGCGGCAUGCUUAACACAUGCAAGUCGCACGGGCACUUCGGUGUCAGUGGCGGACGGGUGAGUAACGCGUAGGUAUCUAUCCUUGGGUGGGGGACAACUGUGGGAAACUACAGCUAAUACCGCAUGAUGACUGAGGUCCAAAGGCGCAAGUCGCCUGGGGAGGAGCCUGCGUACGAUUAGCUAGUUGGUGGGGUAAAGGCCUACCAAGGCGACGAUCGUUAGCUGGUCUGAGAGGAUGAUCAGCCACAUUGGGACUGAGACACGGCCCAAACUCCUACGGGAGGCAGCAGUGGGGAAUAUUGGACAAUGGGCGAAAGCCUGAUCCAGCAAUGCCGCGUGUGUGAAGAAGGUCUUCGGAUUGUAAAGCACUUUCGACGGGGACGAUGAUGACGGUACCCGUAGAAGAAGC
rnacentral:rRNA from 1 species